GUAACGAAUAAAUUAAACGGUUCGGCUAUCCCGCGACGACGGAUUAAACACUAUUAUUGUAUUUUACUACGGCGGGUGAUCCGAAAAAUACGCCACUAUCGUCGUAAAUAAUCGGGGAGGAGGGGGAAAAGUGAAUAGGAGGGAAGUAAAGGCGGUUGAUUUCAGGUCCAAAUUUCUCCGUAAAAAUAACUGCGGUCAAAAUAUUCCCAGUAGAAAAUUGUAUUCGA